CUCCCCCCACACACACACACAUUGCAGGGCUCAGGGAAACGAUAGUGCCCUCGCCCCCCUCUAACUUCUCUCUUUCUCUCACCAGCCCUUCUGCGAUGGCUCCCACUUCUUCCAGCGCACUGGCCUUUCCCCACUCAAGUUCAAGGCCGAAGAGACACGCACAGUGGCCCUCUGUACCUGCAAGGCCACUCGGCGGCCCCCUUACUGUGAUGGUACCCACAAGAGUGAGCAGGUACAGAAAGCGGAAGUAGGCUCCCCGCUCUGAGGGGUACCGAGACUGCGAGCCUCUUCCAGGCCUCCCUUCCUUGAAGGCAGUGGUGCCACCCACAGAAAGUAACAUCCAAGGACUACAUCUGCUUGUGAGCAGUGGUUCCCUGAGAAACUUGUGCUCUCCUCUUGGGCAGCGGAGAGCAGACCCUGGUAAAGCUGUCAUUAAAUGCUGAGACCCACCCUCC
rnacentral:lncRNA from 1 species